rnacentral:tRNA from 1 species
GGGCCGGUAGUUCAGCGGUAUGAACGUCCGCCUUGCACGCGGAAGGUCGGGGGUCCGAAUCCCCCCCGGUCCA